rnacentral:rRNA from 1 species
CUUGSUCWUUUAGAGGAAGUAAAAGUCGUAACAAGGUUUCCGUAGGUGAACCUGCGGAAGGAUCAUUCAUAAUCAAGUGUUUUUAUGGCACUUUCAAAAAUCCAUAUCCACCUUGUGUGCAAUGUCAUCUCUCUGGGGGCUGCCGGCUGUCAAAAGCCGUGUGGUCACCUUUGGGAUUUAUAUCUACUCAGAACUUUAGUGAUUUUGUCUGAAACAUAUUAUGAAUACUUAAUUCAAAAUACAACUUUCAACAACAGAUCUCUUGGCUCUCGCAUCGAUGAAGAACGCAGCGAAAUGCGAUACGUAAUGUGAAUUGCAGAAUUCAGUGAAUCAUCGAAUCUUUGAACGCAUAUUGCGCUCUCUGGUAUUCCGGAGAGCAUGCUUGUUUGAGUAUCAGUAAACACCUCAACUUCCAUAUCUUUUUUGAAAUGGGAGUUGGACUUGAGUGAUCCCAACGCUUUUCCUCACCGAAAAGUGGCGGGUUACUUGAAAUGCAGGUGCAGCUGGACUUUUCUCUGAGCUAUAAGCAUAUCUAUUUAGUCUGCCUAAAAAACAGAUUAUUACCUUUGCUGCAGCUAACAUAAAGGAGAUUAGUUCUUGUGCUGACUGAUGCAGGAUUUACAAAAAAAAGCGUCCGGCCGCCUUUUUUAACACGAUCUCAAAACAAAAAAGAAAACCACCCCGCACUUUUGAUAUUAUUAACGGGGGAGAAAACCAUAAUUUUUUGCCGCCCGCCGGUGCCGCCCUAGGGAGAGAACCACCACCCCGCUGGAUAACUGGUAGAUAUCUAUUGGGCCACACAACUAGCGGCGCAGGCGGGCCAGCUGUCCUGGUGGAAGAUUGUCGCUACACGCCCGCACCAUCACCCUAACAUAUACGGAGGAGUGCUAUCGUCAGAUCAACAAAAUACAGCCAGCAGCUAGCUGGAGACUAGGAACUACUAAUAUGCCUGCUCAUGCGUUCGAUUCGACUGCGUGCAU